rnacentral:rRNA from 1 species
AUAAGCGGAGGAAAAGAAACCAACAGGGAUUGCCCUAGUAACGGCGAGCGAAGCGGCAACAGCUCAAAUUUGAAAUCUGGCUAUUUUGUAGUCCGAGUUGUAAUUUGUAGAGGAUGCUUUUGGUGAGGUGCCUUCCGAGUUCCCUGGAACGGGACGCCAGAGAGGGUGAGAGCCCCGUACGGUUGGAUACCAAACCUUUGUAUAGCUCCUUCGACGAGUCGAGUAGUUUGGGAAUGCUGCUCUAAAUGGGAGGUAUAUCUCUUCUAAAGCUAAAUAUAGGCUAGAGACCGAUAGCGCACAAGUAGAGUGAUCGAAAGAUGAAAAGCACUUUGAAAAGAGAGUUAAACAGCACGUGAAAUUGUUGAAAGGGAAGCGCCUAUGACCAGACUUGUUUCUUUCAGUUUUGUUAGUUUUCGGACUGAUUUACUCUGUUAGUACAGGCCAGCAUCAGUUUGUUGUCAGGGAGAAAGGCUUAGGGAAUGUGGCUCUUUCGGGAGUGUUAUAGCCCUUUGCAUAAUACCUUUCGGCAGACUGAGGACCGCGCUUCGGCAAGGAUGCUGGCGUAAUGGUCAUCAGCGACCCGUCUUGAAACACGGACCAAGGAGUCAACCUUAUGUGCGAGUGUUUGGGUGUAAAACCCCAGCGCGUAAUGAACGUGAACGUAGGUGAGAGCUUCGGCGCAUCAUCGACCGAUUCUGAUGUUCUCGGAUGGAUUUGAGUAAGAGCACACAGGGUUGGACCCGAAAGAAGGUGAACUAUGCUUGUAUAGGGUGAAGCCAGAGGAAACUCUGGUGGAGGCUCGCAGCGGUUCUGACGUGCAAAUCGAUCGUCAAAUAUGAGCAUGGGGGCGAAAGACUAAUCGAACCUUCUAGUAGCUGGUUC